rnacentral:rRNA from 1 species
UUCGUAGGCGGUGCGGCAAGUCGGGAGUGAAAUCUCUGGGCUUAACCCAGAGGCUGCUUCCGAAACUGCCGUGCUCGAGUGUGGGAGAGGCGCGUGGAAUUGCAGGUGUAGCGGUGAAAUGCGUAGAUAUCUGCAGGAACACCCGUGGCGAAAGCGGCGCGCUGGACCACAACUGACGCUGAGGAACGAAAGCUAGGGGAGCAAACAGGAUUAGAUACCCUGGUAGUCCUAGCCCUAAACGAUCAGGACUUGGGGUGCCGCCCGUUCGGGCGUCGUCCCGGAGCUAACGCGUUAAGUCCUGCACCUGGGGAGUACGGUCGCAAGACUGAA